rnacentral:rRNA from 1 species
CAGCCGUAAACUAUGCGCGUUAGGUGUAUCGGUGACCACGAGUUACCGAGGUGCCGAAGGGAAACCGUGAAACGUGCCGCCUGGGAAGUACGGUCGCAAGGCUGAAACUUAAAGGAAUUGGCGGGGGAGCACAACAACGGGUGGAGCCUGCGGUUUAAUUGGACUCAACGCCGGACAACUCACCGGGGACGACAGCAAUAUGUAGGCCAGGCUGAAGACCUUGCCUGAAUCGCUGAGAGGAGGUGCAUGGCAUAGACGUCU